rnacentral:rRNA from 1 species
GACAGAGGGGGCAAGCGUUGCUCGGAAUCACUGGGCGUAAAGAGCUCGUAGGCGGUUUGUCACGUCGUCUGUGAAAACCCGAGGCUUAACCUCGGGCCUGCAGGCGAUACGGGCAGACUUGAGUACUGUAGGGGAGACUGGAAUUCCUGGUGUAGCGGUGGAAUGCGUAGAUACUGGGAGGAACACCAGUGGCGAAGGCGGCUACCUGGACCGGUUCUGACGCUGAUGCGCGAAAGCGUGGGGAGCAAACAGG